rnacentral:rRNA from 1 species
GAUGAACGCUGGCGGCGUGCCUAAUACAUGCAAGUCGAGCGAACAGACGAGGAGCUUGCUCCUCUGACGUUAGCGGCGGACGGGUGAGUAACACGUGGAUAACCUACCUAUAAGACUGGGAUAACUUCGGGAAACCGGAGCUAAUACCGGAUAAUAUAUUGAACCGCAUGGUUCAAUAGUGAAAGACGGUUUUGCUGUCACUUAUAGAUGGAUCCGCGCCGCAUUAGCUAGUUGGUAAGGUAACGGCUUACCAAGGCAACGAUGCGUAGCCGACCUGAGAGGGUGAUCGGCCACACUGGAGCUGAGACACGGUCCAGACUCCUACGGGAGGCAGCAGUAGGGAAUCUGCCGCAAUGGGCGAAAGCCUGACGGAGCAACGCCGCGUGAGUGAUGAAGGUCUUCGGAUCGUAAAACUCUGUUAUUAGGGAAGAACAAAUGUGUAAGUAACUAUGCACGUCUUGACGGUACCUAAUCAGAAAGCCACGGCUAACUACGUG